GGUCGAGUGGCGAAACCGGCACACGCGCUCGUCUUAAACACGAGUUACUGCGGGUUCGAAUCCCGCCUCGACCA
rnacentral:tRNA from 1 species